rnacentral:rRNA from 1 species
AGCUAGUUGGUAGGGUAAUGGCCUACCAAGGCAACGAUGAGUAGCUGGUCUGAGAGGAUGAUCAGCCACACUGGAACUGAAACACGGUCCAGACUCCUACGGGAGGCAGCAGUGGGGAAUAUUGCGCAAUGGGCGAAAGCCUGACGCAGCAACGCCGUGUGAGGGAUGAAGGCUUUCGGGUCGUAAACCUCUGUCGGAAGGGAAGAACGGGCAUUGGUCUAAUAGGCCUUUGUUUUGACGGUACCUUUAGAGGAAGCACCGGCUAACUCCGUGCCAGCAGCCGCGGUAAUACGGAGGGUGCAAGCGUUAUUCGGAAUUACUGGGCGUAAAGCGCACGUAGGCGGCCUUGUAAGUCAGGGGUGAAAUCCCACGGCUCAACCGUGGAACUGCCUUUGAAACUGCAGGGCUUGAAUCCUGGAGAGGGUGGCGGAAUUCCUGGUGUAGGAGUGAAAUCCGUAGAUAUCAGGAGGAACACCGGUGGCGAAGGCGGCCACCUGGACAGGUAUUGACGCUGAGGUGCGAAAGUGUGGGGAGCAAACAGGAUUAGAUACCCUGGUAGUCCACACCGUAAACGAUGGAUACUAGGUGUCGGGGACUUGAUCUUCGGUGCCGUAGCUAACGCGUUAAGUAUCCCGCCUGGGGAGUACGGUCGCAGGCUGAACUCAAAGAAUUGACGGGGGCCCGCACAAGCGGUGGAGUAUGUGGUUUAAUUCGAUGCAACGCGAAGAACCUUACCUAGGCUUGACAUCCUGGGGAAUCCUGCAGAGGAUGGCGGGAGUGCCCUUUCGGGGAAUCCAGAGACAGGU